ACAUAAAAAACUGCAAAUGAGACAUUUUUUUAUGAGACGGAUGGAGUAAAUGGAUCUCAUUUAAAAAAUCCAAAUGAGGAUGAUGGAUGUGGGUGCUCUUGGGACAACAUUUGUCGGUCAAAGAAGGAGGGGUCUUGGUGUUAAGCAUUGUGGUAGGUUCAAUUUAACUUUGUUAAGUAAGUGAAAAUGGUGUCUGACGCUCAUUCCAAAGUUUCACUUUGGUGGAAGGAUUUAUUUUCAAUCGGUAAGGCUGAGGAGGAGAAUCGGGAUAACUGAUUUGUUUUGGCAAUUUCUUGCAAGCUCGGAAAAGGAAAUUUAAUUGAUUUUUGAUCGAUGGUUGAGUUCGGAGUCGCUUCGCAAGUUGUUUCCUUUGUUAUUCUUAAUCAAGGUGGGUGACUGUGGCAUUUGGUUGUUCGGUAGGUGUGCCUUUGCUUUUAGAAGAGGAUCGUGUUUCGCUGUCCCAAUUUUAUUUGUUACUACAGGAUGUUCAAAUUGCUCUGCGACAGGAUGAUCAUUUUGUUUGGUGGAGAAAUAAUGGUGGAUUCUCUGUUAGUAACAGCUAUUGCAGACUGCUAGUUGUAGAGUCUGAUGGGUCUGUUUUGGAGGUGGAGAAGUUGCGGCUUUUGGAUUAUUUGUGGAAGACCAAUGCCUCUAAUAAGGUGCUCAUUUUUGGUUGGCGGUUGGUUCUGAACAGGAUUCCUUUUAGGGUGGAAUUAGUGAAUCGCCACAUUAUCGUUAGAACUCAUAAUAUGGUGGUUGGAUAGGUACGGUGGUGCCGCUGUUUUCUAGCUCUUUAGCAACUUGUUUUAUGGACUUCAUUGAGGAUGCAGGGGCUACUGUCAAAAGGAGGAUGUUAUAGUUUUUUGGCUUGUUAUUUGUUAGGUUAUAUAGUCUUGUAGGAAUGUUAUGGUUUUUUGGCUUGGUUAUUUGUUAGAUUAUAUGGUCUUGUAGGAAUGUCAUUGUUUUCAAGGGGAAUAUUUUUAACAAGAAGGAUGUUUUGGGUAUGAUCAAGUUUAUCUUGUGGGAGUGGUUCUUGGCCUCUAAUCGUUGUGGGAAUUCUUGCUUGUGGGAUGAUUGGCGUGUCAACCCAAUUUCAUGUUUCUUGUAAUUUGUUUUUGUUGUUCUGUUGUUUGAGUUUCUCUUUUGGUUUGUUAUUGGCUUUCUAAAGGUUGGCAUCCCUUCUGCUCCCUUUAUUAAUCCCGUUUUGCUUAUUAAAAAAAAGUGAUCUCUUCUACUUUUCUAAAAUUGAUCACAAAAA